rnacentral:rRNA from 1 species
UACGUAGGGGGCAAGCGUUGUCCGGAAUCAUUGGGCGUAAAGAGCGUGUAGGCGGUCCGAUAAGUCCGCUCUGAAAGCCCGGGGCUCAACCCCGGGAGGCGGGCGGAUACUGUCGAGCUAGAGUCCGGAAGAGGCAAGUGGAAUUCCUGGUGUAGCGGUGAAAUGCGCAGAUAUCAGGAGGAACACCGAUGGCGAAGGCAGCUUGCUGGGACGGUACUGACGCUGAGACGCGAAAGCGUGGGGAGCAAACAGG